rnacentral:rRNA from 1 species
AAGAAAAUGAUGAAUAAUUGGUAGAGGAGGAGUGAUCGAGCCUGCGCUUAAGUGCGCGGCGAGGUUGUUCUUUUUCGUUACGCCGAUAAUUCUUUACACACACUGGAGUUUUAUUUCUACAGUAUCGGAGGUAGCAAUACCGCCAAAACAAAACACAAACAAUUAUUUUUUAUUAUUUUAAUUUGUCAUUUCAAAAUCUGCUUUAUUGCAGUAACCAAAAUAUUCA